GACGAACGCUGGCGGCGUGCUUAACACAUGCAAGUCGAACGGAAAGGCCCUGCUUUUGUGGGGUGCUCGGGUGGCGAACGGGUGAGUAACACGUGAGUAACCUGCCCUUGACUUGGGGAUAACUUCGGGAAACUGGGGCUAAUACCGGAUAGGAGCUCCUGCUGCAUGGUGGGGGUUGGAAAGUUUCGGCGGUUGGGGGUGGACUCGCGGCUUAUCAGCUUGUUGGUGGGGUAGUGGCUUACCAAGGCUUUGACGGGUAGCCGGCCUGAGAGGGUGACCGGCCACAUUGGGACUGAGAUACGGUCCAGACUCCUACGGGAGGCAGCAGUGGGGAAUAUUGCACAAUGGGCGGAAGCCUGAUGCAGCAACGCCGCGUGCGGGAUGACGGCCUUCGGGUUGUAAACCGCUUUCGCCUGUGACGAAGCGUGAGUGACGGUAAUGGGUAAAGAAGCACCGGCUAACUACGUG
rnacentral:rRNA from 1 species